GCAAACAAUUUGCAGCAAGUUGAAAAUAAUUUGAAAUUUGUUUUUGUUUUGCAAGUUCUUCGUUAGAAGCAAAAUGGUUUCAUUUGAAUUUAUACGUGCAAAUAUGAUUGCAAAAUGGUUUCGCUCGUGUUUAUAUGUAUUAUAAUCUUUAUACGUACGUUCAAAUUUGAUUGCAGCAAGUUGAUUGCUGAUAUAAGCGCGAGUGAAACCAUUUUGUUGCAAAUAAAGAACUUGCAACAUUUUUUGCGGCAAUAUUUUUUGCUUGUUGUCUGUAUACAUUAUUUUGACGUUAUCUUGGUUGCGUCAGUUGCUUGCUUGUUUGCAUGUGCGGUUUGCUUUCAGUCGCAAUAUUGCAGCAAGCUUUGCAACAUGUGGGAUCGCGAGAAAACGAUACAAUUAAUUGAAUUUUACGAGAAUCAUUCUGUUUUAUGGGAUGCCUCGUCAGCAGACUAUAAAAAUAAGCAUAAAAAAGCAAAAUGCUUAUCGCGAAAUUGCUGAAAAAUUAGACAAAAGUAAUGAUGAAAUAAAAACAAAAAUUCAUCAUUUGCGCACUCAAUUUUUGCCAGAGGUGCGCAGAGUGAAGCAAAAAAAAGUGUGGCCAGGGUACAUCGGACAACUAUACCAGCAAAUGGCAUGACACUUCACCAUCAGGCGAAAAAAAAAAGCAUUUUUAAAUUCUUCACAUAUAUCUUUUGCUUGAGUAGAGUUUUGCGUAUUUCUUUAAAUUGGUAAUACCAAUUUGGUAUGCAGUUUCAUCUUCAGCUUCACUUCUCCAUCAACUUCAUUGUCGAGUGUUCCAUUCGGAGGAUAUUUUUGUUUUGACACUUUCUUAAACAUCAACCAGUUUUCUGGCCCAAGUUCCAAUGGCCUUCUUAAAGCACAAAAUCUAUUUUCCAUUAUGCCAAAUACACUCUUCCACUUUUCAUUAUUCUGUAACGUAUGUAUAUGAUAGACUACAUGCUUUAAAAAUUAAUCCAUCAGAAAUAUUUCCUAUGCCUCCUACAUCGAAGUAGUUUUAUAGUUUUCGUCUGCUAACACUUAAGUUGAAAUAGUUACUACCACUGUUAGACGGAUCUUUAAUAUCUACGUGUUUUACAGAUGACAGAUGACGUACCAAGUACAUCCAAAACAAAAAAAAGAAAACGUUAUGUGAUAGAAUUUAAGGACGAAGAUCAGCAUUUUAAAAAGGUUGAAAUCACAUCAAAAUAAAAUAGACUUCUGCUUCGCAGAAAAAUUCAAAGAGCUAUUUUGGAAGUAUCGGAAAUUGAUAGCGAGGACACUUUUACUUGAUCCACGCCUAAUAUCGUGUACUCAUCUACCAACUCUCCAGUUCUUGCCUUUUGCGAUGGUAAAAUGACUCUAAUCUUCUCACUUUUUUACGUUUAAUGAAAGUCGCUAAUGAGCAAUAGCAGAAACUCUCGAUUUUUGUGCUGACAUAAUAUAUACACGUCGUUAUUCCUUCACUUUCACAAAAACAACAGAACUUGUAAAUAAAAAGUUUGCCUGCAAAACGAAAAUUGAUUGAAGCAAGAAAUUUUCUUGCAAUAUUUGUGCAAACUUUUGCUGCAAAUUAAAGUGCAUGCAAACUGCCUGAGGAGGCAUCUGGGAAGUCCGGUAAAUCUCAAAAUCGACGUGAAAUUGUGCGAAACUUUCAUCAACGCAUUUUGCAACUGGAUAAGCAUCAAAGCCAGCCUUGGAGUUACCAAACAAAAAGCAUUUCGAAUGCCCAGCACAUGCGGGAGCUGCGACAGCGUCUCAUGAACUUGGAGCAGUCAGCAGGCAACUCUUCUAGUGAUUCUAAUGAUUGUGGCACGCCAAGCAGUCAACUCAGACGUGAGCUUGAGCAGCGUCUCAUGGAUGUGGACUCAUUUCAUAGAGCUAAAAAGCUGAGUAAUCGUCAAAGAGUUGCUGCCAAGCUGCCUUCAGAAACAGAAGCUGCUCAGCGGAUGCGGAGGCUGCGACAACGUCGUCGAGAUCUUCAGUCUGCUCACAGUAAUUGUGAUAGUCCAACAACUCCUAUCGAAUUAAGUGCAAAUCGAAUGGAAGAGUUUCGACAGCGUCUCUUGAAGACAACAAUUGUUGCAGCCACGGCUAAAACACAAAAACAAUUACGAAACUUGACACACAAGAAAUCCAUUGGAGAUAAAAAACUUUCAAAGCCUGCCACGUGACAAGAUCAAUAAAAACAAAUAUUUUAUAUUUUAUUCUUAAGCUUUUAUAGACAUUAUUUUCAUAAUUCAUUUAUAUCUAUUGUUAAGGUCAGAUGUCAUUUUUAAAUUAAUUUCAUUGUAUGUUACCUGAUUUAGACGUAUGGGUGUAUUUAUUUGAGAAAUGUGUGUAUUUUGUUUAACUCAAGUUUUAAUGAGGCUUGGUAUCAUAAAAAUAUAUCUAUCUACACAAAAUGUAUAUGUUAAUUCUGAAGUUUUAUGAUGUUACCAAAUAAUUACAACAUUUAUGUAUUUAAAAAAUGUAUGUGCCUAUAAAAAAAUGAGACUUUGGCAGUCAAUAAUCUCAGAUACUUUAAAAGCUUUGGAAUUUAAAUGUAAAUAUUAGAUUUAUAUUUAUCGUUAAAUUAUAGAAAAAGAACUAACUAAAAUAAGUAUCUAAUAAAGAAUUUUAGAUUUAAUAAAAUUUAAACACAAAAAUGCAAACAAA